rnacentral:lncRNA from 1 species
UGAUACUUCAUCAUAUAAUUUAUAUGAGAUCCAUCUAUCCAAAUAUCAUCACUCACUUAAAAAGUUGUAUGCUUUGGAAGAAGCUUGCAUAAUUUGAAAGGGGUUUUUAUUGAUCUUAUAGACCUAUAGACUUUCCCGCUAAUGAGGACUAGGCUUAGGAUUUCUGGAUCAAUGGUGUUAUGUCAUCUAUUAUAUUUUGAUAUUUUGUAUUGAUGAUGUAUUGCUUUUGUACUGUAUUGAUCUCUUUUUAUACACAAUACAC